GAGGGGCGGCGCUGCCGGGCCUGCCUGUGCGGAGCGCACCGCUGUGGUAUUGCGGCGUAGGUGUCGUGACCGUCGCCAAACCUGGAUAUGACAUUCAUUGUUGGAUCGACAGAUCGGGAUAGCGUGGUUUGAAAUGCAAGAGAACAACUAAAUUGGUGCACCACAACAGCCAUGGACACGGACCCCUCCCACAAGACCAGGUUGCCCAAGUGUCAGGGUUAUGAUGACAGACCAGACCAGACACAAGACAGAGUAGAGGAAGAAAGUGGAGAACGUACUGCUGAAAGACCAGGGAAGAUCCACAACGUGAAAUCCUUUUCCAUGGAAGCUACUACUCAACAUCAUUUCUGUAAAUAACAGCUGUAGAAUAGGCAAAGUUUUACCACUUAAGUGAAGCUUAUGCACUGCAAACAACUAAAGACAAUUGAAUUAAAAAUGGAAAUGAGCUCUACUGUAUCAGUAUGCUGCCAGGCCCACCCACCACUUAUCAAUGAGGGCGAAAGGGAGAUCUUUUAUGUCUCCAGCCUGA